GCUCGUCCAGUAGCAUGCUGCUGACUGCCAGCAGUUCAUUCUUCUGGGCUGAGGUACAAGUUUCCACAGCCUGGGAAGGCAGGAUGGACUGGAACUGACCCAGGGAGAGGGCUGUAGGGUUGGAAGUGUUGUUCCGUCCUCUCUCUCAGGAAACACUCCUGUCUCCCACUGUACCUGCCUGGGCCAGCCAGGACACAGGGAGCAGUGACAGUCAUUCUCCUUUGGCUCACAGACAAUGUGACACGGGCUGUGAUGGAGAACACGGGGAUAACGAAAGCCUAGAGUCGGUGCUGAGGGUCCCAGUCUCCUGCCGCCGCUACAACAUCCCUAGAUAUAGCUGUGUUUGCGGGUACUGGCAUCUCAGGGUACAGGACAGAGCUAUGGAAAAGAAAGAUACCCAGCAGGACGGUCCUCUACAGCUCUCCCAGGCACCUGCUUCCACUUUAGAGCCAUCAAAGCUGAAUGGGACCUCUGGAUCCCUCUGCCCGUGACUGUACCUUGGGUGGCUGCUUAUGGGAGACCAGAGGCUGGAUGGCUGGGUCUGGUCUUCUGAAUUCUGACCACCAACCAAAGAGGUAGGACAUCACAUGCAAGAUCUGGAAACAAGGGGAUCAAGGACAAAGAGUCACCAUGACCCAGAUGGCAUCGGGCUUCUGAGGUCUGGACUUCAGCCCUCCACAGCUGUAGCCUCUGAGAUUCCAGUCUUUGAAACAUAACGUCUGUUCCUAAAUCAGGCUUUUUAGUGGGUCUUAGAAGACCCACGGUUUCCUCCCUCUGCCUGUGUUAAAUACAUACUCAGCCCUGA